ensembl:lncRNA
CUGAAUCCUCCUGGGCACUUGGGGAACCUAAGAGCCUGCUGAGCUGAACAGUGCAGACAUGUUCCUGUGGUUAACUUGCAUGCUAGCACAGAAGUUCUCUGUCACUGAGAAGAGAAAUCCAAAGGCUGCUUCAGCAUCAAUGAUCCCCUGGGUCUUUGAGGACAGUUGCAGACUCUAGUGGAACCACAGAUCAGUGUAUAACUUUCUGCUACAGACUGUAGAGAUCGUGGUUUGAAAGAUAAUGUCGGAGACAGAAUCGCAGAGUAAAAGGCACUUGUUUCACCGUGUCCUCCUCAGGGAGUUGUCCAAUUCAAUGUGAUUUUAAACAUCUGUCAGCUAAAUCAGAGCUCCAAAUUUAGCACUCGGGAACAUUAUGCGGAUGUGCGAUGCUCGCUGGAGAACACUGCAUCCACAAACUCAGCUCACAGGAGACAGCCGGGUGGUACUCCCAUUGGUAAUUUUAUCUACGAGACGUUUAAUUUGGCUGUGCAUUUAUGACAAUUAUGUAAAAGGGAAGUUGUGACCGUUUCCUCACAAAGGGUUUUCUGCUGAGAACUCUGCAUUUCUCUCUGAUCCUUUGCCUGUGUGGUUUUGUUUGUUUUUAAUCCCCAGAGGCCAGUUUGAUCUGAGUUUCCUGAAAUUCUGUUCUCCAUCCUGAGACAUCUUUCGGGUCUGGCAAAAAAAAAAUGUAACUCUGCUGUAUCCAUCCUAAAGAAGCAUGGUUCUCACUGGCCACCUUUGAUGGGCACUGUAGCAUAGCUCCCUUCUCUCCACUGGAGGGAUGCCCCUGAAGAGCUGCACUGCAGUUCAAGAAGAAGACAACCCCAUGCCUUUGCAGAGGCAAAUGACUGCUCAUUUGGGAGUGUGUAACUAAUUCUAUCAAUUUCUGAAAUCAUGGCAUCUGUAAAGGGAGACACAGGGAGAAAGAGCCUUGUAAAAUAGUAUGGCCAUCGAUAAGUGUCUGAUCACAAUAGACGAACAUGUAUUUGUUGCACUUAGAUUCACACAAAAUCUCCCAGCUUCCAAGAUCCAGUGCUCCACUAAGUCCUCAGACCUAGUUACCACAUGCUUUCAGCUGUGGAAGCAACGCUGUGAGUCUCUGCUCUGAUUUAAUGUGUGAUGCUAUUAGGAAGAAUCUUGUAAUGCUACUGGGUCUCGGAAGCAGCAACUGUGGUGUUUGAUUGGUCCUGUGUAACCAGGAUUAGGCUAGGCCCAGAACAAGGGUCUAAUGAGACUGUAGGGACAGUAAAUCAGUGCAUGAGUGGCAGGCAGACAGGCAUGAAUUUGAACUGUCUCAAGGCAGGGGAAGGUGACGCUGCUGCUGUUGGCCAGAGGAGAUGCCUUACAAAAUCAUCCUGGCAAAACUACACAUGCACUACUCACACAUGGACUUGAACAAGACUCAGUACAGGGUUUCCUUGCUUUUAGAGAAAAGGUGAGCCUCUCAGAGGAGUUAUAACCAAUUAAGAGCUGGGACACAGGGAAGGUGGCUGCAGAGCACUGAGCUGACAAACUUAGUCUCAAAACAUUUUCUUUCUGACAGUCUUGGUGUUUAACACAUACUCUAGGGGAGCCUGAUGGCUCUUCCUUCUCCUCACGCCACUUCUAUGGCAACACACUUACCUUGGGAGGAUACAUUAGGGAAUAGUUAAAACCAGAGACUGUAGCAUCAGACAGAUCAAAAUUCAAGCCCCAGACCACUGAGGCAAAUUAUCCUGGGAAAAUUAGCAAACAUCUGAGCUAGCUCAUUGCAUAUAAGGGAUGCAACUCAAGUAGAAAUAAAGUACCUGACACAUAGCAAAUGUUCAGUGUGACCAAAAUUGUCAUCGUUACUGUAAUUAAUUUGGGUUUGAAUUUUGCAAGUGAUAAAAAUGAAACAGUGCUGGCUUAAGCAAAAUAGUAACAACAUCAAUACAAGUGUGACUUACAGAAAUCACAAGUAGAAAUGUGCACGGGCCUCAGGGACAUCCAGUCACCAUUGUCUUCCAUUGCUCAUCUGCUGUACAAGUCUCCCUGAACUGCAUAUUUGCCUCAUCCCCCUCGGGGUUGAGAAAAAGCCAUCUCCCACCUCCUAACCUGCCAUCCUGCAGCUUCAACUUUCCCAAAAGAGACCAGCCAGAACCUUUUUCCUGUUCUUGAUGUCAUAGACUCCAAUGCAUUCACCUGGCAUGGCUAGAGGCAGGGGUCAAGUGACACUUGUGGUCCCCAGGAAGUAGCAGAUGUGGAGAGUCGCUGGAUUUCUGGGAGAGAAAUUAUGGCCAGAUGUUACAAAAGUACUUUCAAACUAGUAUAAUGGUGGAAGUGCGAUAUUUUUUAAAGUGAGAAGGUGUGAAAAUGUCCUUAGUGAACAAAAUUUCAUAUAUAUCGUGGUCAUGAGCUACACUCAUUUAUAAAGGUAGAGAUUUAUAGGGAACACAGAGAAGUUGGUUUAUGCUGUGGUGGUGAUUUUUUAAUGUUCUCUGAUUUAAUAACAAAACUUUGUUGAAUGCGGAAAGCUCUUACAAGGAUUAAUAACCCUUGAGCUUUUGCCACCUAACACCUUAGCGAGGAUUAGUUGUCAACUGGCUGAGAGCCAAGCCUCUAGGGGUACAGUCUCAGGCCAGAAGGAGGAGGGAGGAGGCAGGAAAAUGCCAAAAGUCCUGAAGGCCAAGCUCCUCGUUCUCUACCAUGUGCAGGCACUGAGGCCCUCUCUUCAUAGAAAGUCAGAAACCUGGCUCAGAAUCCUAAAGCCUUCAUCGUAUUUUCACAGGACAGUCUGUAAACUCCAGCCAGAGACAGGACAGCUACUAGAAAACUCCCUGGGUAGUUUAAAAAAAAAAAAAGCCAUCAGAAACACUGUGAAAAGCCACCUUGUGUUUUUUAGAACAAGACGGGAGCCAGCUUCCAAAAGCCCUACAAACAUCCUAUAGACACGUUUCCAUAGAAACAGAUGAUCCCACGCCCACUCUAGUAGCCUCUGAGCCCAUUUGGCAUUCUGUCCUCAGUUCCACCCCUGGGUGCAGUGAGGAUAACCCAGGAAAAGUCUUUCCAUUUAGUCUUUGGCACCCUGCUUCUAAUAGCCUGAAUGUCCAUGUGCUGCUUCUUUUAAUGUUCCCCUCGAGGGUUGGGUAGGACAGAUGGUCACUGUCAUGUUAAAGCCAAAGACUUAUGAAGCAACUUUGUGAGCAGAGUGAGUACUUAACUCCUGCCCCAGAGACAGACCCCUGGGACUCUUGCCUGAAUGGGGAUGGGAUUCUGCUUCAUUGUAACACAGUGGGUAAUCGCAUUCACUGCCCCAUCUUCAGGGGAGUGGUUUUGAAAUUGCUCAAGCUGGCUGCCCUGAGAUAUUGCCCAAAUGUUCCCUUAGGACUGCUUUUAUCUUCAGCAAAGCUACAUAUGGCCAAAGCUCCAGAAAAAUUCACUGAAACCUAAGGACUUUGCGUGUUCAAGACCCAGACAUCAAAAGAGUGGGAGUUCUGUUGCCGGGUCCAUUCCUUCUGCUCCCAUAACUGUCACCUUAGCUGAAAUCACCAACUUACACAAUUUGGCAGAGUUCAUCUAUAACCUGGCCCUCUAUGUCCUAUAGACACUAGACAUACAUGUAAUCUGUAUAACACAUGUACAAAAUACAUUCAUUAAGCGGUUGAUUAAAACUUGUUAUCUAAAA